UACGGAGGGUGCAAGCGUUAUCCGGAUUCACUGGGUUUAAAGGGUGCGUAGGUGGGUCUGUAAGUCCGUGGUGAAAUCUCCGAGCUUAACUUGGAAACUGCCAUGGAUACUAUAGGUCUUGAAUACUGUGGAGGUCAGCGGAAUAUGUCAUGUAGCGGUGAAAAUGCUUAGAUAUGACAUAGAACACCAAUUGCGAAGGCAGCUCACUACACAGUUAUUGACGCUGAGGCACGAAAAGCGUGGGGAUCAAACAGG
rnacentral:rRNA from 1 species